ensembl:lncRNA TTN-AS1 TTN antisense RNA 1
GGAGCGCCUCUGACUGACUUCCCCCAUGUGUCCGUGUGGCCACACCGUGCUACUUUCAGAGGCAGUGGGCUUUUCGCUAAGGGAUAAAAAGAAGUAAAACCUUGCCUUUAGCGCAGCUCUCCUUCACUGGGCAGAUUGCUCUCCCUCCCCACUCUCCCAGGCCCAAAUUGGAUCUCAGCGCCUGGGAGCUCCAACUUUAGCAAGUGCGAAAUCCUGUCUUCGGUUUUGGAAUUUUCAUCCGCACAGACUAUAUCAGCCACGGAUAGGAUAUGUGAGAAUACCAGCAUGUCAAGGCUGGGAAUCAUCCUUAGGCAUCACCUAGCCAGUCCUGCCUCUCAUUUUAAGAAUCAGAGGUGGGGAGAGUGGUGGAAGGGCCUGUGGACUUACGGAUGCUGCUGCGACACUCUAUGACCUCAGACUGCAAGUAAGAGCCAAUCCCGAAGCGGUUUGUUGCAGCCACACGGAACACAUACUCAUUUCCUUCGUUUAGAACCAGCAAAGAACCAGGAAGCAGCAGGAGGUGGACGGCCAGCAAUAGGUAUCACCAGCUCUACUGGUCUGCCAGCUGGGACAUGGAUGGUCUUCUGAGGCAUUGUAGAAAGAUCGAUUGUUGGCAACACUAUGGGAAAGAAAUCAGGCAUUUAUUCUUAAGCAUUAUUUUUAUGCUUUGCAGGCCUCGAGAACAUAUCCAGUGAGUCGGCUACCACCAUCGUAGAGUGGUUUUUCCCAGGCAAGGGUAACAGUGGAUUUGGUGACAUCGACCACUUCUAGCUUUGCAGGCACCAAAGGCACUUCUGAGACCAGUACUGCAUCAGAUGUUUCACAAGGUUCUCCAAUGCCAUAAAUAUUUUCUGG